rnacentral:tRNA from 1 species
GAUGGUAUAGCUCAGUAGUAGAGUGCUUGCUUAGCUUGCACAAGGUCCUGGGUUCAAUCCCCAGUACCUCCA